GCUUUCAAGUCCCGAUCUUAAUAAAAUGAUCCGUUCGGAGCGCUUCGAAACAGUGAAUCAUGCAGCGAAGUUUCAAGCUCCGUUUCACCCGUCACUAACUGCUUCUUAAAAUCAUGACAAGCGAUGUCAGAAAUUUUAAAAUGAAUAGCUUUUUUUUUAACUGGUUUUUGCUAGUGAACACUUAAAGUGAAUGAAGUGAAAAGUUUGAGUUUGAAUCACUCGGAUCGGUUCCAGCGUGUUGUACCUUGUUUACAUGGCACUGUUAGCUGGUUUAGCUCGCUAGUUUGAUGAGAUUAACUGAAAAGAGCGAAAAAAGUAUGACGUCCACAAAUAAAUUAUCCAUAUUUCCAGUCUAAGGAUAACUGUUUUUCACGUCGAAGACCUCCAACACAAAUCUACGGGCAUAUUCAGAGCGGUCACUGGUAUCAUAAUGUCCCCUCCCAGCGUCCGGCUGUUCGUGAUAUGGCACUACCAAUGCCUUUUGGGCAGAUUUCAACUCCCGCUGUCAGCUCCAGAGUCUUUGUCUCUGGCUAAGAUGACCCAGUUUCGCAGUCGGUGUCGUGUUGCAGUCCCGGCCGUGCGAGAGUGUGUAUGUGUGUGUACGUGCACGCAGGUCUGUGCUAAGCGCGCCUGUUGACAGUUACACCAAACAGACCACCAUCGCUUGAAAGCAGCCAUAUCAUCUGGUCAUGGUAAUGGACGUUUAAGGCAAACACAUCUGUUGAAUCGAGGCACCUACAGCGCUUCUCUCUUCGCUGGAGAAUGUUUCUGUCUACGGCCCAGAUGAGGAAAGUCUCCAAGCCACAACAUGACAUCCAUCUCAGGAUCUUUAAUGAGGAUAUCUACCACUGGAGACGCUGGAUUCAUGUGAGGCCCACAUCGGUGAGGACAAAGGGUGAAUUCUUCCCCGGCCGAGCGUGGCUAGAGGAAGUAGUGCAGAUGCCAGUGGAGAUAACUGAGUGUGGGUUCGAGUUUCCACCAGCUGGUCGCACAUACUUCUGCUGUGCACAAAACUGUGCAUAACUGAAAGCAGAGUGUGUGAACCAAAACAUAUUAUGCAAAUAUAUUUUUGAAUGGCUGCAGUGACGUUGACAGGAGAGUAAAAAUAUUGAAAUUAUGCGUCAUUAUGAGAAAAGGAAGAGGCUUGAUGGU